GAACAAGUUUUGUUAUGGUACUUUUGAUGAAAACUGACUUUCUAGACCUCAAAUGUCACUUUUUUGACCUUAUCAUACUUUUUCAUCAACUUUUGCAUUUUAAUGUAAACAAUCAUAUUUCGUAAUAUUUUGGGUCAGAAACAUUUCAUAGUACUAUAUUAUGUCUAACUAUGUGAAAAAAAUCAAAUUGGAGUAGGUCGGGCAACUGAUUAUAUGAGUUUGUUAGAAAAACCACUUUCCUUUGCUCCUAGCGCCUUCUCGUUCGCUCUAUAGCGUUUUGAGCGGAUAAAGAGCACAAGUGUGUAAGGAGACACAGGAUGAAUGCGAACUACUUUUGUUAUUGUACUUUUGAUGAAAACUGACUUUCUAGACAUAAAAUGUCACUUUUUUAACCUUAUCAUACUUUUUCAUCAACUUUUGCAUUUUAAUGUAAACAAUCAUAUUUCGUAAUAUUUUGGGUCAGAAACAUUUCAUAGUACUAUAUUAUGUCUAACUAUGUGAAAAAAAUCAAAUUGGAGUACGUCGGGCAACUGAUUAUAUGAGUUUGUUAGAAAAACCACUUUCCUUUGCUCCUAGCGCCUUCUCGUUCGCUCUAUAGCGUUUUGAGCGGAUAAAGAGCACAAGUGUGUAAGGAGACACAGGAUGAAUGCGAACUAGUUUUGUUAUUGUACUUUUGAUGAAAACUGACUUUCUAGACAUCAAAUGUCACUUUUUUGACCUUAUCAUACUUUAUCAUCAACUUUUGCAUUUUAAUGUAAACAAUCAUAUUUCGUAUUAUUUAGGUCAGAAACAUUUCAUAGUACUAUAUUAUGUCUACCUAUGUAAAAAAAUCAAAUUGGAGUACGUCGG
ensembl:lncRNA